rnacentral:rRNA from 1 species
UACGUAGGGUGCGAGCGUUGCCCGGAUUUAUUGGGCGUAAAGGGCGCGUAGGCGGCCACGCACGUCCGUUGUGAAAUCGCCCGGCUCAACUGGGCGGGGUCAGCGGAUACGGUGUGGCUCGAGCAAGCUAGGGGGCAAUGGAAUUCCCGGUGUAGUGGUGGAAUGCGUAGAUAUCGGGAGGAACACCAGUGGCGAAGGCGGCUACCUGGACCAGCACUGACACUGAGGCACGAAAGCGUGGGGAGCAAACAGG